ACUUUGCAAUGCUGGCAACAGCGAUAAGGGAACCUCGAGUGCCAGGUUACAAAUCUGGCUGUCGAGAUGCCUAAAAAGCAUUUCAUAGCAAGGGCCGGGCAAGACCGGUGCCAGCCGCCGCGGUAACACCGGCGGCUCGAGUGGUAACCGUUAUUAUUGGGUCUAAAGGGUCUGUAGCCGGCCGGAUAAGUCUCUUGAGAAAUCUGGCAGCUUAACUGUCAGGCUUUCAGGAGAUACUGUCUGGCUCGAGGCCGGGAGAGGUGAGAGAUACUUCAGGGGUAGGGGUGAAAUCUUGUAAUCCUUGAAGGACCACCAGUGGCGAAGGCGUCUCACCAGAACGGACGUGACGGCAAG
rnacentral:rRNA from 1 species